UGGGGAAUAUUGCACAAUGGAGGGAACUCUGAUGCAGCAACGCCGCGUGCGGGAUGACGGCCUUCGGGUUGUAAACCGCUUUCAGCCAUGACGAAGCUUUUGUGACGGUAGUGGUAGAAGAAGCACCGGCUAACUACGUGCCAGCAGCCGCGGUGAUACGUAGGGUGCGAGCGUUGUCCGGAAUUAUUGGGCGUAAAGAGCUCGUAGGCGGUUUGUCGCGUCGAUAGUGUAAACACGCAGCUUAACUGUGUGCCUGCUGUCGAUACGGGCUGACUAGAGGAGGGUAGGGGAGAAUGGAAUUCCCGGUGGAGCGGUGGAAUGCGCAGAUAUCGGGAGGAACACCAGUGGCGAAGGCGGUUCUCUGGACCUUUCCUGACGCUGAGAAGCGAAAGCGUGGGUAGCAAACAGG
rnacentral:rRNA from 1 species